rnacentral:rRNA from 1 species
GUGCCACCGCCGCGGUAAUACCGGCAGCCCGAGUGAUGACCGAUCUUAUUGGGCCUAAAGCGUCCGUAGCUGGCUACGCAAGUCCGUCGGGAAAUUCACUCGCCCAACGAGUGGGCGGCCGACGGAAACUGCAUAGCUUGGGACCGGAAGGCUCGAAGGGUACGUGCGGGGUAGGAGUGAAAUCCCAUAAUCCCGCACGGACCACCGAUGGCGAAAGCACUUCGAGAAAACGGAUCCGACAGUGAGGGACGAAAGCCAGGGUCUCCAACCGGAUUAGAAACCCUAGUCUCC